rnacentral:rRNA from 1 species
UACGUAGGGCGCAAGCGUUAUCCGGAAUUAUUGGGCGUAAAGAGCUCGUAGGCGGUUUGUCGCGUCUGCCGUGAAAGUCCGGGGGCUCAACUCCGGAUCUGCGGUGGGUACGGGCAGACUAGAGUGAUGUAGGGGAGACUGGAAUUCCUGGUGUAGCGGUGGAAUGCGCAGAUAUCAGGAGGAACACCGGUGGCGAAGGCGGGUCUCUGGGCAGUAACUGACGCUGAGGAGCGAAAGCGUGGGGAGCGAACAGG